UCCAUCGUGGUGCAAUGGUAGCGCGCCAGACCACAUAUGCUGUCACGUCGCAUGACUUACGAGCAUGCCACCCGAGACGCGCGGGAAGCGCCUGUACCAGGAAACUGGAGCGGCCUUCGCUGGUGCUCCAGGUGAGCUACGUGGCCAGGCUUGCCCAUCUGGAGACCCGAGUUCGACUCUCGGCGAUGGAA